rnacentral:lncRNA from 11 species
CAGGCUUCUAUUUCAGGAUGGGUACUGCACAGAGCAGCUUCUCUGUGGAGAUGAUCUAAAUGGGUCACGCCUGGCCAAAAAUAUACUGGAGUUGUCACUUCAAUCUAGCAAAAUCCUGGAUUUGGAGCAAGACUUUGGAUAUCCAGAUCUGAUGAAACAAUGUGGAUGUUAAAAGUUGAAUUUGGUGACCAUGUUUCAGGAGCAACAGAAAACAAGAUGGUUCCAUCUUCAAUGUGUCAUCUUCAAUCCCUUUUGGUCUGCACAACAAAGGAAGAGGUCAGGGGAGCACAUGGCGCUUGGAGAGAAGACUUUUCAUUUUACUUCUGAGUCUCAAAUUGAUGAAGAAAAGGG